rnacentral:sRNA from 1 species
AUUAAUAUUUCUCUCUCUCACAGAAACAUUUACAAAUGACAGUGUCGAAGAUGUUUAUACCUUCUGUUGACAUACGCAAGACCAGGAAGGAGGCUAAACGUAACUUAUUAUCAUUGAGAUUAAUCCUAGGCGUAGCAGGCAGAGACUCAACAAAGUUCUGCCCAACUGACACUCAACAAAGUUCUGCCCAACUGACACUCAACAAAGUUCUGCCAAACUGACGCUCAAGAAAGUUCUGGCCGAAAAGCGGGUCGUCCCCCGUAUAACCUGGAAUCGUAAUGUCUUGGAGGAUGUAAAAAAAAAAGAUACGCCAAAACACAAUUUAAAAAGUCGAUGAACCAGUUCCUAAGACGUCAACUUUUCCAAACAAUUUUACGUUUAUCCCAAACAGCAGAACAUCUAGUCAUCUGUUGUUCAGUAAUGCCAGUAUCUAAUGUACAGACACAUGUAGAUGCCAUCAAAAGUAUCAUUUAAUGACGGCGGAAGAUGUAAUCAAAAUUACUAGUGUACUUAGGCCAGUAAAUGACUCCAGCUGUAAAAUAAAUGACUACCUAAUUCUUGCUGUAUCAAUGUGAACUAUCAAACAAGACUGGCUCAAAUAUAAUCAAAGAGUUCUUUAUUUUGUCAGCAACUUUUCUGUAACAUAAAUAACUUGUGUACGUUAGGAACUACCAUCAAGUGUCUGUGUUACUUUAAUGUUUGAACUAUAACCGAAAGGGUUUAAUUAGUGCAAUUCUUAUAAAGGAUGAUGAACGUUUAAGAUUGAACUCUGGACUCAAAUAAUAAGGAAAAAUUGGAUAUAGUUUUCAAUAUAUAACUUCUUCAUGCAAUAGGAGACAACUUGACAAAACAAAAAAGGUCGAACGUUGAAUAGUAUUCAACUGAAAGCAGAAGUGAACAUCAAUCAAAGGACUAUUGGUCAACAAUAAAUCUUAAGUGAACAUUU